rnacentral:rRNA from 1 species
UACGAAGGGGGCUAGCGUUGCUCGGAAUUAUUGGGCGUAAAGCGCGUGUAGGCGGCUUGGCAAGUCGGGUGUGAAAGCCCUCAGCUCAACUGAGGAAGUGCGCCCGAAACUGCUGAGCUUGAGUACCGGAGAGGAUGGUGGAAUUCCCGAAGUAGAGGUGAAAUUCGUAGAUAUCGGGAGGAACACCGGUGGCGAAGGCGACCAUCUGGACGGAUACUGACGCUGAGACGCGAAAGCGUGGGUAGCAAACAGG